GCCUGGCUGGCUCAGUUGGCAGAGCGUGCGGCUCUUCAUCUGAGGUUGUGGGUUCGAACCCCACGUUAGCUG
rnacentral:tRNA from 1 species